GUUUCCUCGCAUACAUUACCAUCAAUGCCCGGCCUGUGAGUGUGUGUCGGGGAGGGGGGAGAGCGGCCGCGAAAGGCGGGCGGGCGCGCAGGCGGCGGCGGCGGCGGGCGGCGGGCAGCCCCGGCACCUGGGCCCGGCGCGCCCUCGGCGACUCUCAUCAGCUCCCAGUUACUGGCGCCGGCGCUCCCGGGCCAUCUCCCUCCGUCGACACCACGCUCACUCUCAGCCGGGGCAGCGGCGCCAACUACACGGCGGCACCGCGAACCGGGGGGAGGGGGGCAAGACGACGCGUCCGGCUCAGCCCCGCGGAGAGCGACUGCCUCCUCCGCCUUCUCCUCCUCCUGCUCCGCCGCCUCCUCCCCUCCUCCCCCCGCCGCCGCCGCUGCUGCCGCCGCCUGGUCCUUCUUCUCCUCCUCCUCCUCCCGCCGCCGCCGCCGCCGCUGGUGCCGCCGCUGCCGCUCCACCAACUACAUCCGGGCAACUCGGACGCUGCCGCCUUCGGGAAACCUCGGCAGUUUCCGCCGGGCCCCUCCUCUCCCACCCUCGGCCUUCCUCCCCGCACCGCGCGGGUCCGGAACACCGCCCUCGGCAAACCUCGGCUGGCUCCGGCCUUUCUCCUCCUCUGAGGCCUGGAUCUUCUCUUCGCGACCAGUCUGCCCUUUCCUUCUUUUCCUCACUCGCGAGUCGGCCACCGCCGUUCCCGUUUAGGGAUAGUCUCGCUCGGGCGCCUGCUCGAGGCUGAUCUCAGGGGCUCCGGGCUGCGCAGGGAGGGAGCCGCCUUCCGGAAGAGGACGGUGGGGCGCGAGGGAAGCCAUCGCGGACUAAAUAAGGGAGGCUGCAGCGGCUGCGCGUGCGCCCAGAGGCGCAGCGGGAGGGGGUGCUCUCGGGCGAGCUCUCCGGCCGCGGCCCCCGCCCCUGCGCUGUCGGGCGGGGAGGUCGGAAACCCCCUGGCGAGACCACGGGCGGACGCUUCCCGAAGAGCUGCCUGGGCUGCAGCCGCGGAAGCUGCGUUCUGGGGAGCGGGGAGCGUGCUCCGGCGCCUUCGGGCCGCUGCUGGAAGCCGGAACCGAGCCCGGGCCGCUGCCCCUCACCGGACGCCGCGCGCCACCGGCCCUCCGCGGGGCAGGGGCUGCUGCGAGCUCGCCGGGCGCCCUUUAGACAGUCGUCCUUGUCUACUCCACUACCAAAUGUUGAAGUUCUUCAAGAAUCAGUCCUUUGGAGGUGAUGUCAUUGAAAAUGAUGAGUAGGAAACUCCAAGAGCGCAUUUCUCCACAAAACCAGUGAAUACAUUGGCACAAAUUGUCAGAAUCAAUUUUAUAUAAAUUCUGGAAAUUAGUCAAAGGUUUAUAGUAACCAAGGAAACAUCUUUUUAAAAAGAUGGCUGAGGCUGGAUGCUGUGGCUUAUACCUGUAAUCCCAGCACUUUGAGAGGCCAAGGCGAGCAGAGCAUUUGAGUCAGGAGUUAGAGACCAGCAAAAAAAUUAGCUGGGUGUGUUUGCGGGCACCUGUAAUCCCUCAGGGAGGCUGAGGCAGGAGAAUCGCUUGAACCUGGAAGAUGGAGGUUGCAGUGAGCCAAGAUCGUGCCACCUCACUCCAGCCUGGGUGAUAGAGUGAGACUCUGUCUCAAAAAAAAAAAAAAAAAAAAGUCUGAAUCCUGAAUCUCAGGAGCGCUUUCUAUCAUUUAAACUUACCCUGGUGCCACCUCCCUGUCCAGCUUUGAAAACAACGACAUGCAUUUCUGAUAUCUGUUCCUGGUGCCAAAGGGAGCAGGAUGGCCUUGUUUUCUUUUCUUCUUUCUUUUUUUUUUUUGAGAUGGAGUUUUGCCCGUGUUGCCCAGGCUGGAGUGCAGUGGCGCAAUCUCGGCUCACAGCAACCUCCGCCUCCCGGCUUCAAGCGAUUCUCCUGCCUCAACCUCCCGAGUAGCUGGGAUUACAGGCACUUGCCACCAUGCCUGACCAAUUUUUGUAUUUUUAGUUGAGACGGGAUUUUGCCAUGUUGGCUAGGCUGGUCUCGAACUCCUGACCUCAGGUGAUCCGCCCACCUCAGCCUCCCAAAGUGCUGGGAUUACAGGCAUGAGCCACUGUGCCUGGCCGUGGACCUUCUUUUCAAAGAAUUAUGGAGGCUUAUUUUAGUUCCCCUAACUUGGAAAUCUCCUGAGGAAGAAAGGUGACUACAGGCAUUUGUCAAAAAUUUGUAAAGGCAAGUUUAUUAGCCUCUGCCAUCGGGGGCAAAGAAUAAUAGCUAAGGCAAACAAUAGACACACCAAAAAGCCUGGGAGGAAAAGCUGGAAAGUAAGAUAUUUUGGAGAAUAAAGGCUUUUAAAACUUCCACAUAUUCUUGGGAAUCCAAAAGGCCACAUGUACAUGCAGGGUGAGCAAAUAGAGAAGACUUGAGAAAGCCUUAAACUCUCACCUCUGGCUAACCAUCAGGCUUGCUCAAAUAGGAAGUGAAAACUAAGGUGAAUUUGUUGCUUAGCUGAAUGUUGAAGGUGUGCCCCAACACUUACACAGAGCCUACUGGUAAAGACUGAGAGUGUUUUCUUUUUGUCUUGGUUUCAGGCAUUUAAGGAAAUCUGUUUCUCUUUUGGAUCACUAGCUGCAAAUUAAGCUAACAGAACAGGAGCUCAGCUGGUCACACACAGCAACGAAUACAGACUUUAUAAAGUUCAGAAAAGUUACCAAACAGUGGUAACCAUAACAAGUACCAACAAUGAACUAUGGGGAGGGAGGAGAAUCUGAUUUCCAGAGUUACCACAUUAUAAUACUAUUCAAAAUGUCACAUUUUUAGCAAAGAUUACAUGACAAGGAAAAACCAGAAAAGUAUGGCCCAUACACAGGUAAAAAAAGAAAUUAAUAGAAACUACCCCUGAAGAAGCACAGACUUCGGAUGUACAAAACAAAGACUUUUCAUCAACUCUUUUAGAUAUGCUAGAAGAGCUAAAGGAAACCAUGGACAGAGAACAAAAAAAUUAGGAAAGCAAUGUCUCAUCCAAUACAGAAUAUCAAUAAAGAGAUUGAAAUUGUAGAAAAGAACCAAAUAGAAAUUCUGGAGUUGAAAAGUAUUAUAACUAAAACUGAAAAUUCACUAGAGGUAUUCAGCAGCAGACUGGAGAAGUCAGAAGAAAGAAUCAACAGGCUUCAAGAUAGGUCAAUUAAGAUUAUACAGUCUGAGGAGCAGAAAGGAAAAAGAAUGAAGAAAAAUGAACAGAGCAUAAAAGACCUCUGGGACUCUAUCAAGCAUACCAGUAUAUGCAUGAGGGGAGUCCCAGAAGGAGAAGAAAGAGAGAAAGGGACAUAAUAUUUGAAGAAAUAAUGGUAGAAAAUGUCCCAGCUUUGAUGAAAUACAUGAAUCUAGAUAUUCAAGAGGCUCAAAGAACCCUAAAUAGGGUAAACUCAAAAAGACCCACACCGGAAUGCAAAAGUGAGCUGGGUGUGGUGGCACGUGCCUGUGGUCCCAGCUACUCGAGAGGCUAAGGCAGGAAAAUCGCUUGAACCCAGGAGGCAGAGAUUGCGGUGAGCCGGGAUUGCGCCAGUGCACUCCAGCUGGGCGACAGAGCGAGAUUCCAUCUCGAAAAAAAAAAAAAAAAAAAAAAAAAACUAUUGCUGCAGUCAUUCAGAUGGAAAUGGGGAAAGAAUAAUAUUAACUGAUUUCAAAAAGGACUUGAAGAUGUGAAUCAUCUAUUUUGCUGAAGAAAUCUUAACUCUUUGAAAUUACUUUUUGUUGCUGUUGUCAUACUCUUAGGUGCCAAACUGCGGUAAAUUUUUUAUCAGUGAAGUGGAAGCAUGUGUUUUGUUGUUUUGGGAAUUUUUAUCAAGUAUCUUCAGAGAAGAUUAUUUCCUGCUUUAUCUUCAAAAACUGGAAAGGAAGGGUCAAAGAAAAGACAGUAGCUGGCCGGUCAUGGUGGCUCAUGCCUGUAAUCCCAACACUUUGGGAGGCUGAGGUGGGCAGAUCACCUGAGGUUGGGAGUUCGAGGCCAGCCUGACCAACGUGGAGAAAUGCCAUCUCUACUAAAGAUGCAAGGAUUGGCCGGGCGUGGUGGUGCGUGCCUGUGAUCCCAGCUGCUCAGGAGGCUGAGGCAGGAGAAUCGCUUGGACCUGGGAGGUGGAGGUUGCGGUGAGCUGAGAUCACGCCAUUGCACUCCAGCCUGGGCAACAAGCGAAACUCUGUCUCAAAAAAAAAGAAAAGACAGUAGCUUAUGUUCAUGUCAAGCACCUCUCAUCACAGUCUAGUUCCAAGGAAAAAAUUCCCAGCGUUUUCUACAUUCGGUGCUGCGUCAUCUGAAAUCGGCACAUUCCAUGGAGGAAGGAGUCCUGCUUUGUUGCAUGUAUCCUAGGGUUUAAUGUUGGUAAAUGAGUCACUCUAGCAUUUGUAGAAGGCUCCCUGAGACUCCUGCAGCAGUCGACCAAGCCCAAGGACAUAAUUGAAUCUGGAGAGUCCUGGGGCCUUGUUUUGAAAAAGACUUGAAAUACACAUAGGAAGAAAGGCAUAAAAAUAAAUGUUCACUUGUCUCUGCUGUGAGUAUGUGUUCCAACUUUUCAGUGAUGGCUUUGAGAAUUCUCAAACUUGACUGGCUCUAAGUGUAUCUGGUGGCUUUUGUAUCGUAACCUGAAACUGGCUUAGUACUUUUUCCUAAAAGCUCAGGAUUUGAGAAUGAGGACCCCUUCGCCAGGAAAACAUGUAUACACUCAAAAUUUUGCUUGCAGUUCUAGGGUGUUUAGACCUUUCUCAGAUACCUGUGCAUCUUAUGGGUUUUGUUUUUCUCUUUGAGACAGUCUCACCCUGUUGCCCAGGCUGGAGUGCAGUGGCAUGGUCUCAGCUCAUUGCAGCCUCCGCCUCCUGGGUUCAGGUGGUUCUGCCUCAGCCCCUUGAUCGGCUGGGAUUGCAUGCAUGUGCCACCAUGCCCGGCUCAUUUUUGUAUUUUUAGUGGAGAUGGAGACAGAGUUUCACCAUGUUGGCCGGGCUGGUCUUGGGCUCCUGACCUCAGGUGAUCCGCAAGCCUGGGCCUCCCGGGGUGCUGGGAUUACACGCGUGGGCAACUGCGCCCAGCCCUUGUGUACCUUAUGUGAGGAAGUCCUGCUCAAUCAGGAUCGGUCACGCAGGCCCUGAUCUUGCUACUCUGGUUCCAUGUCCUAUGGAAGACCAAAGUUUACCAAGAUAGAUUUUUCCCUUCAUAGUGGCAGAUACUGUUAACCCCUGCACCAUCUAUAACUCAGAAAUCCCCACCAUUUCUUCCCCUGGGCUUCAGAAUAGAAUUGCCUGGUUUCUCUGAUGAUCAGCACACUUCCUUAAAACCCAAAUCAGCAAGGAAUGAACAAUUUUGUUUGGCAUGGAUGAAAUUAGCACUGUUUGGCUCGGUAGGCCCCAGACAGGCAGGCACCUUAAUUUUUUCCUUGCAUAUUCUAGUCUUCAGAAGCAUUGCCUUUUGUCCUACUGGUAGUGACAUAGAUCAAUAACAGGGCAUCUGGGGAUUUUAAUCCUGAAAACAGUGAGUCUGAUACUGCUUGUGUUUUUCAUCAGUGUCCACCCCGAGUGGGUCUUCCUGCUAUUCUCUUCACUUAGUUGCCCCUCACUUGCCAUCUGAGCAAUUGGCAAGGAUGUGCCAGGCCUAGGUUAAACUUGGAAACAUGCUUGACCAUUCUAUUCCCUGGUCCUUUAAGAUCAGUUUGGCUGCAAUUUUGGCUCCUUGGACCCUCAAGCAUAGCUGGUAAAUCAAGUUAGAGAUGUAACUGCCUUAAAACGUGCCAGCUUAGGCUGGGCGCGGUGGCUCACGCCUGUAGUCCCAGCACUUCGGGAGGCUGGGGCAGGCGGAUCACCUGAGGUCAGGAGUUCGGGACCGGCCUGACCAACGUGGAGAAAUUCUGUCCCUACUAAAAAUGCAAAAUUGGCCGGGUGUGGUGGUGCAUGCCUGUAAUCCCAGCUACUUGGGAGGCUGAGGCAAGAGAAUUGCUUGAACCCAGGGAGGCGGAGGUUGCAGUGAGCCGAGAUCACGCCAUUGCAUUCCAGCUUGGGCAACAAAAGCAAAACUCUGUCUCAAAAAAAAAAAAAAGUGCCAGCGUAUGAGGUAAUUAGAUUGGUUCUCUCCAGAGGUAACCUGCCAAGAAGAGAUGCUAUAGAUGUUACUCAUAUACUGUAAAACAUUGUGAAAUCAGAUUACUUUAAAAUGAUGUAUUACAAAGUUUUGCAAAAAAGCAGUUGUGACUGUGGAAGCCCAAGGCUUAUAUCCCAGCUCUGUCUUACACUAAAUAUGGGUAGAGUGUUUCCACUCUGUCCAUAAAAUGGGAGCUAAUAUUCUCCAACCUGUGUGCCUGACAUGAUGGUUAAAAGGAUUAAACAAAACAAUAGUUUGUAAUUUAUUCUGUCAGAGCACACUGCUGGUAAAUAAAAGGGAGUAAGUUGACUAAAACUAAAUUUAAAAAAAAAUCCUAAUAAAACAAGUUUGUAAUUUAUAAUUGUAUACAAAUAAAAGAUGUUACAAAAAAAAAAAAGACCCACACCAAGACACAUCAUAAUUAAACCGUCAAAAGUCAAUGACAAUCCUGCAAGCAGCAAGAGAGAAGCAAUUCCUCACGUACAAAGGAUUCUCAAUAAGAUUAAUAGCUGACUUCUCAUUAGAAACCACAGAGGCCAGGAGGCAGAGGCAGUGGGAUGAUAUAUUCGAAGUGCUGAAAGAAAAAACUGUCAAGAAUUCUGUGUCCAGCAAAACUAUCCUUCAAAAAAAAAAAAAAAAAGUGAAGGAGAAAUUAAGACAUUCACAGAUAAGCAAAAACAGAAAGAGUAUCUCACUAGUAGUCCUGCCUUACAAGAAAUACUAAAAGGAUCCUUCAGCCUGAAAUGAAAAGACACUAGACAGUGAUUCAGAUCCACAUGAGGAAAUAAAAAACACUGAAAAAGAUUUAAAUACAUAGGUAGAUAUAAAUGAAAGCAAUAAUUAUAUCUGUGUCAAAGCACAAUGUAUAAAGGUGAUUCAUGAUGAGGAAAAGAUGAAGUAUAGGAGCAAAAAUUUUGUGUACUAUUGAAACUAAGUUGGUAUUUAUUUGAAAUAGAUUGUUAUAAAUGAAAGUUAAUUGUAAUCCCUAGAGCAACUACUAAGAAAAUAACUAAAAAUUUUGGAAAGGGAAUAAAAAUGGUAUGCUAGAAAAUAUCUAAUACAAAAAAGGCAUAAGGGAGGAAUUGAGGAAGACAUAGGGAAAACAAAUAGCAAGGGGCAAUGUCCUUCCUACUAAUUACAUUAAAUGUGAAUGCCUUAAAUUCCAUUUAACAGAUGGAGAGAUUGGCAGAAUGGAGUCUUUUAAAUGUUCUAACUAUAUCCUGUUUACAGAAGACUGACUUUAGAACCAAAGACACAAACAUGUUGAAAGUGAAAGGGUGUCACCUUAGUUUUCUUUCUUUUUUUUUUUUUUUGAGAUGGAGUUUCACUCUUUUUGCCCAGGCUGGAAUGCAAUGGCGUGCUUGGCUCACCACAACCUCCGCCUCCUGGGUCCAAGCAAUUCUCCUGCCUCAGCCUCCUGAGUAGCUGGGAUUACAGGCAUGCGCCACCACGCCCAGCUAAUUUUGUAUUUUUUAGUAGAGAUGGGGUUUCUCCAUGUUGGCCAGGCUGGUCUUGAACUCCCAACCUCAGGUGAUCUGCCCGCCUCGGCCUCCCAAAGUGCUGGGGUUACAGGCUGAGCCACCGCGCCCGGCCAGCACCUUAGUUUUCUUGUGCUGCCGUAACAGAAUACCUGAGACUGGGUAAUUUAUAUAGAGCAGAAAUUUAUUUUCUCACAGUUUUGGAAUCUGAGAAACUCAAAAUUACGACAUUGGCAGGUUUGGUUGUCUGGUAAGAGCUGCUUUCUGCUUCCAAGAUGACACCUUAUUGCUGCAUCUUCUAUAGGGGAGGAAUGUUACAUCCUCAACGUGGCAGAAGGUAAAAGGGCAAAAAGGAAUGAAAUUCCUCAUCAGGCCCUAAGUUAAGGGCACCUAAUCUCAUUCAUGAGGGGAGGAGCCCUCAAGACUUAACCACCUCUUACUGGCUGGGCGCAGUGGCUCACGCCUGUAAUCCCAGCACUUUGGAAGGCCGAGGCGGGUGGAUCACAAGGUCAGGAGAUAGAGACCAUCCUGGUCCUAGUAGAGACACGGUGAAACGCGGUCUUUACUAAAAAUACAAAAACAAGAUUAGCCGGCCGUGCUGGCGGGCGCCUGUAGUCCCAGCUACUUGGGAGGCUGAGAUGGGAGAAUGGCGUGAACCUGGGAGGCGGAGCUUGCAGUAAGCCGAGAUUGCGCCACUGCACUCCAGCCUGGGCGACAGAGCAAGACUCCGCCUCAAAAAAAAAAAAAAAAAAAAGACUUAACCACCUCUUAAAAGUCCCACCUCUUAAUACCAUCAUGUUGGCCAUUAAGUUUAAAUAUCUGAAUUUUGGAGGGCACACAUUCAAACCAUAGCAAGUGGAAAAAGACAUUCCAAGAUAUCUCAGGUUCACAUGGAACAUUCUUCAGAAUAAAACAUGUUAGUCCACAAGUCUCAGUUUUAAAAGAUUGAAUUACAAAGUGCCUUCUCUGACUACAAUGGAAUAAAACUGAAAAUAACACACCCUUAAACAACCAAUGGAUCAAAGAAAGAUUAAAUCACAAGAGAAAUCAGAAAAUACUUUGAGAUGAAUAAAAACAAAAAUGCAGCACCCUAAAACGUUUGGAAUGCAGCAAAAGCAGUGCUCAAAGGCAAUUUUAUAGCUGCACAUGCCUACAUUAAAAAAUACCUAGAAUCAGCAACCUAACCUUCCACCUUCAGGAACUAGAAAAAGAAGAGGAAAUCAAACCCAAAGCUAGCAGAAGGAAGGAAAUAGUAAAGACUGGAGUAGAGAUAAAUGAAAUAUACAGUAGAAAAUAGAAUCCACAAAACCAAAAUUUGGUUGUUUGAAAUAAUAAUGUUCACAAACCCUUAAAAAGACUGAGCAAGACAAAAAGAUUCAGGUUACUAAAAUCAGGAAUAAAGUGGGGACAUUACUGCCAAUCUUACAGAAAUAAAAAGGAUUGUAAGGAAAUACUAUUAACAAUUAUAUGCUAACAAAUUAGAUAACCUAGAUAAAAUGGACAAAUUCCUAGCAGCACACAAACUACCAAAACUAACUCAAGAAAAAACUAAACCUAUAACAGUACUAGUUAAAAAAAAAAAAAGUAAACCAGUUAAAAACAAAAAACUUCCAAGAUAGGAAAGAUCAAACCAUGUGGCUUUACUGGUGACGUAAAGUAUUUUAAGAGUGCCAGUCCUUCUCAAACACUUAAAGUAGGGGAAGAGGGAAUAUCUUAACUCAUUAUAUGAUGCCGGCGUUACCCUGGUACCAAAUCCAGACAAAGACAUCACAAGAAAAUAAAACUACAGUCCAAUAGUUCUAAUGAAUAUAGAUGCAAAGAUCCUCAGCCAAAGUGAAUCCUGAAGCACAUUACAAGGAUAUCCACAAACAAAACUGUUAGAGCUAAUACCUCAAUAUCACAGGAUGCCCAGGAUCAACAUACAAAAAUUAGUUAUAUUUCUGUAUCCUUGCAAUGAACAUUUCAAAGUGAAAUGAAGAAAACUCAUUUACAGUAGUAUCAAAAAGAAUAAAAUACUAAUAAACAAGAUGUAAGACUUACACACUGAGAACUACAAAACAUAGUUGAGAGAAAUUUAAAAAGACCUAAAUAAAUAGGCAUUUUAUGUUCACGUAUUAGAAGACUUUGAAAAUGGCAAUACUCCCCCAAUUAACCAACAGAAUCAGUGAAAUUCCUAUGAAAAUUCCAACUGCCAUUAAUGUAGAAAUGGGCAGGUUGAUCCUAAAAUUCAUAAGAAAUUGCAAGGAUGUGGCCAGGCGCGGUGGUUCAACGUCUGUAAUUCCAGCACUUUGGGAGGCUGAGGCGGGCGGAUCACGAGGUCAGGAGAUAGAUACCAUUCUGGGUAACACGGUUAAACCCCGUCUCUACUAAAAAUAAAAAAAAAAAAAGUGUAGCCGGGCAGGUGGUGGGCGCCUGUAGUCCCAGCUACUGGGGAGGCUGAGGCAGAAGAAUGGCAUGAACCCAGGAGGCAGAGUUUGCAAUGAGCCGAGAUCGCGCCACUGCACUCCAGACUGGGUGAGAGAGCUAGACUCCAUCUCGAAAGAAAAAAGAAAAUGAAAAAAAGAAAUUGCAAGGAUGCCAAAACAGUCUUGGAAAAGAACAAAGUUAGAAGACCCACAUUUUGUGAUUUCAAAAUUUACCACGAAGCUACAGUAAUCAAAAGAGUGUGGUACUGACAUAAGGAUAGAUAUGUAGGCCAAGAAAACAGAAUUGAGAGCCCAGAAGUAAGCCUAUACAUCUGUGGUCAAUUGAUUUUUGACAAAGGUGUCAAGAUAGAUCACUGGGGAAUAGAAUAGUAUUUUUAAGAAAUGCUGAGGAUACUGGGUAUCCACAUGUAAUAGAAUGGAUUUGGACCCUUACCUUACACCACAUGCAAACAUUAAGUCAAAAUAAAUCAAAUACCUAAAUAUAAGAAUGAAACUAUACAACUAUUAAAAGAAAAUAUUGGGGUAAGUCUACAUGACCUGGGAUUUCCCAGUGGAUUCUUAGAUAUGAUACCAAGAACUCAAGUAGCAACAUGAAAAAUAGAUACAACUGGGCUUGAUCAAAAUUUAAAACUUUACAUAUCAAAUGACACUAUCAAGAAAGAGAAAAGAGAACCCACUGAGUGAGAGAAAAUAUUUGCAAGUCGUAUACCUGGUAAAGCUCAAAUAACUCUUACAAGUCAUCAGUUAAAAGACGACCCAAGUUAAAAAUGGGCAAAGGACUUGAAUAGACAUUUCUCCAAGGGAGAUAUUCUAAUGGCCAAGUACAUGAAGAGAUGCUUUGCAUCAUAACCUUCCACCUUAAGGGAAAUGCAAAUCAAAACCACGAUGAGAUACCACUUUCUAUACUCACUAGGGUGCUAUUAUUAAAAGACAAGUGUUGGCAAGGAUGUGGAGAAAUUGGAAAGCUCAUAAAUUGCUGGCGGAAAUAUAAAAUGGUGCGUUCAUUAUAAAAUAGUUUGAUGGUUUAUCAAAAUUUUAAACGGAAUUAACAUAUAACCCAGCAGCUCUCCUAAAUAUAUACUCAAGAGGAUAGAAAACUAAUCAAACAAAAACUUCUGCAUGAGUGUGUAUAGCAGCACUAUAAUAGCCAAUAAGUAGAAACAACCCAAAUGUUCAUCAAUAGAUGAAUGGACAAAUUGUGGUAUAUUCAUAUAAUGAAAAACUACUCAGCCAUAAAAAGAAAUUAGGUACUAGUAUAUGUUGCAACAUGGAUCAACCUUGAAAGACCUUGCUAACUGAAAGAAAAGGCCACAUCUUACAUGAUUGUAUUUAUGUGAAACAUCUAGAAGAGGCACAUCCAUAGAGACAGAAAACAUUGGUGGAUGCUAGGGGUUAGGGAAAUGUAGAAGUGGGGAGUUGCUGCUUAAUGGGUUUCUUUUUUGAGUGAUGAAAAUAUUCAGAUUUAGGUAGUGGUGAUACUUGCAAACAUUGUGAAUGUACUGGAAGGCACUGAAUUGUACAGUAAAAUGGUUAAAAUGGUGAGUUUUAUGUCAUGUGAAUUUUACCCCAAUAAUACCUCAAUAAUAAUUUUUUAAAAGUAGCCCCUCUCUUAGUCCAUUUUGUGCUGCUCUAACAGAAUACCCGAAACUUUAUAAAGAACAAACGUUGGCCGGGCACUGUGGCUCACGUCUGUAAUCCCAGCACUUUGGGAGGCCGAGGUGGGCAGAUCACGAGGUCAGGAAUUAAGACCAGCCUAGCCAACAUGGUGAAACCCCGUCUCUACUAAAAAUAACAAAAACUAGCUGGGCGUGGUAGCACAUGCCUGUAAUCCCAGCUACUUGGGAGGCUGAGGCAGGAGAAUUGCUUAAACCCGGGAGGUGGGGGUUGCAGUGAGCUGCGAUCACGCCAUUGCACUCCAGCCUGGGCAACAGAGCAAGAGAUUCUUGUCUAAAAAAAAAAAAAAGGAACUAUAUUGGCCCACAUUUCUGGCAGUUGAGAAGUCCUAGAUGAAGGGGCCACAUCUAGUGAGGGCCUUCUUACUGCAUCGUAACGGUGGAAGGCAUCACAUGAUGAGAGAGAGAGCAAGAAAAGGUGCUUUUGUUACAAGCCCAUUCCAUUAUAAUGAACCCACUCCCAUGAUAACAAGCUAUUCAUGAGGACAGAGCCAUCAUGACCUAUUCUCUAAUUAGGCCCUACCUCCCGACACUGUUGCAUUGAAGAUUAAUUUUCCAACACAAGAACUUUGGGGGACACAAUCCAUAGCAGUCCCUCUCUUCACUAAUUUCUUUCCAUGAAUUCUUCCACUCCCCUGACUUUUGUGUGUAGUUACCAUCUAUACACAGAUGCUUCACUAGAGGCAGUUUGUAUCUCCAACCCACAUCUUUUUUUUGAGUUCCAGAUGUGAAUAUCCUGCUGUUUACUUACCUACCACCUCCACACAUAGCUUCAAAUGCAACUUUGAAAUAUAAAACUGAGUUCAUUACCUUUUCUCCUAAAUUUGAUUAUCUGUGAAUGCUUUCUGUCUCACUAAAGAUAGCUUCCAGUCAUUGAGAGUUUGCUGUAUGUUUGGACUAAAGUGUUAAUCCAUUAAUUUACUUAAUCCUCACAAGAACCUCAGAUAAUACUAUUUUCCAUUUGCAGUGAGAAAGUUGAAAGGUAAAAUAACUUAUUGAAAUCACACACCUUUUAAGGAAAGGCUAGCCCUCAACAAAGGCAGCCUGACUUUUCAGAGCCUAUGUUCUUAAUGCCAUUGCUAUACCAUCCUCUAACUUUUUCUAGAGACCUAGAAGUCAUCUUUGUCACUUCUCUCCUUUACAUGCUUUAUCAAGUUGAUCAUGAGGUCCUAUUGAUUUGACUUCCUAAAUAACUCUCACUCCAUCCAGUUCAUUUCAUCUGCUACCACCAGCCUUAUUCAAGCAACCAUCUUUUGUCUAUACAAUGGCCUCUUAACUAACCUCCCAUAUUCACUGACAACAACCUAAUAAAAAUAUUUAUAAAUAUAAAUUUGUAUCUUACAGGUAGGGAAUUUAUAUUCUUCUCUUAUUAUGCCCAAGGAAUAUUUCCAAAUAUUAAUCAUAAGAUUGAUCACCUAGAAAACCUUAGUGAAUCAUGAAAAGUAGAAAUCUUAAGAGCUGCUUUUCAGAUGAUAGUGCAAUAAAACCUAAAGUCAACAAAGGUUGUUUUUGUUUCUUGAUGAUUUUAACUGUUGGUUUACUAUCAGUCUCUCCAACACUCCUGCCUUAAUUCUUGGUGAUUUUAAUAUGCACAUCAAUGAUCUUUCCAAUAUCUUGACCUCCAGCUUCUUGGACACCUCUUUUCAUUCCACUUCAGCCACUCCUUUGGUCAUUCCCUAGUUAGAUCUGCUUAUUACCAUUAACUGCAAACUCAAUUAUCUCAACUUCAUGCAUCCACCUUUCUGGCUGCCACAUCCUGUCUUUCCAGCUUUCCCCUCUAGAUCCCUAGCUCCUCAUAAUUAUUUAUCUUUGUUGGUAAUUCUAAUCUAUUGAUUCUAUCACUGUUUCACUGCCCCUCACCCUUAUUUUCCUCCUCACUUGGCUUAAAUUCCAUAGCCAGUCAUUGAUUGGAUAUUCCUUUUACCCACUGACAAAACCGUAACCCUAAUCAUUACUUAUCUACUCCAUUCUUGCUCCCAUGUAGCUGAACAUGACUGGAAGAAAAAUGCAAGAGUUUCACUUUAAAUUCUUGAAGACAAACCUCAUGUGACCUCAAAAUGCUGCCAGUCAAUCAAAUUAUAUUUUCUCCAAGUUUAUUCACUUGUAGUCAGCUUGGGCUGCUACAAUAAAAUAUCAUAAAGUAGGUAGCUUGUAAACAACAGAUUGUCUUCCUUCUGGUUCUGGAGGCUGGGAAAUUCAUGAUCAAGGCACCAGCAGAUUUAGUGUCUGUUGAAGUCCAGCUUUGUGGUUCAUGGAUGGUGACUUCUCACUGUGAGAAGAUAUGGUGGAAGGAAAGAGGGGUCCUUUCUUGAGCCUCUUUUAUAAGGACACUAAUCUCAAUCAUGAGGACCACCCCCCAUAACCUAAUCACCCUCCAAACGUGAUUAGGCCUUCCAAUACCAUCACCUUGUGGGUUAGGAUUUCAACAUACGAAUUUUGAAGGGACACAAACAUUCAGAGCAUAGCACCCCCUUUUCCUGAAAUGAUUUUAUGUAAUGAUUUUAUGUAAUUGUCUCUUCUCGAAUAUCCAACACUCUAUUCCCAGUCUUACCCUCGAUGAUAACUCUUGUUCCUAUUUCCUGGAGAAAAUCAGAGCAAUCAGAAGAGAUCCCCUGCCACUAAAUCUAUCCUUCUAGCAGCUUGUGAACUCAUAUAAUUUUCUUUCCAGCCUGUUACCAUACAUAUAUGCAUGAUGUCCAUGCUCUCAUCUAAAAUCAGCCUCUGCUUGUGUACUAGAUCAGGGUUGACAAAAUGCAGCCUGUGGCCCAAAUCCUGCAUUUUGUUUUGUUUUUGUACAGCCCGUAAGCCAAGAAUAGUUUUUACUUUUUUUUUUUUUUUUUUUUUUUUGAGACAGUCUUACUCUGUUACCCAGGCUGGAGUGCAGUGGCACAAUCUUGGCUCACUGCAACCUCCACCUCCCGGGUUCAAGCGAUUCUUCUGCCU
rnacentral:lncRNA from 1 species